GCGACCGCUGUCAAGACGUUUCAGCCCCGGAAACACCUGGCCGGGUUAGUGACAGUGAAUGAGUGAGGGGCAACAGCUGCUAUCAGGACAGGUUUCCACCGAGAUGGGACGCGAAGCGGUGUCAGCCAAGCCAGUUGAGCCACUGGAGUGACUUGCAGGCCUGUUGCUGCUGAAGAGACCUAGCAAAUUGGCUGGGGGCGCCCUGAACUACAGGUGUGUGCUGGGCCAGAAGCAGACCUUCAUGCAGUCUUGGAAUGAGCUGAUGACAAGAGCCUGCCAACAAUGCUAUGACUGAAGGCCGGUGAAACUAUGGCAGAUUGGGAAUUCACAUACUGAGUGGCAGACAUUGUGCUGGACACCUUCAUGAUACUACUUUACAUUUCAUCAUCAUGUCCUCUUACACUGCUUCUUGGCUGUGACAGCAUCUCAGAUUCCCUGUUUUUGAU